AAUAUUUGACGCCCCUUGGGGGCUCC
rnacentral:snRNA from 1 species